AUUCGUUCAUGAAUCGGACAUCGCUAGCGGAAACGCGUGUGUGCUGUUCUGGAGUCUCACGCCUUCAAGUGACAUUGUGCUUGAAAAACAAGGAUGUCCUGGUCUGCUGUGGGUCUACAGCUGGUUGCAUGUCUCCUAAACAUCUCGGUAGCUCGGAGAAGAGACCUGGCGGAGACAGUGGCUAGAUCAGCCAUCACUGACACGCACUUGGGUUUUGAAAGCAUGGCUUACCUUCUCUGAAGCAAGUUGGAAAAUCUUGUCUGGACCCUACAGAACAUACUACAACCCACAUCUUGUUUUAUUCACCUUUUUUUCCUCCUUUCUGAUUUUAAGUAUAAUAAAGACUUAACAGUGGUCUCCAGGUGUUGAAUAAAAAUAAUGUCUAAACUA